CCUGGCGGCGAGUGGCGAACGGGUGAGUAAUACAUCGGAACGUGCCCAAUCGUGGGGGAUAACGUAGCGAAAGCUACGCUAAUACCGCAUAAGAUCUACGGAUGAAAGCGGGGGAUUCGCAAGAACCUCGCGCGAGUGGAGCGGCCGAUGGCAGAUUAGGUAGUUGGUGAGGUAAAGGCUCACCAAGCCUUCGAUCUGUAGCUGGUCUGAGAGGACGACCAGCCACACUGGGACUGAGACACGGCCCAGACUCCUACGGGAGGCAGCAGUGGGGAAUUUUGGACAAUGGGCGAAAGCCUGAUCCAGCAAUGCCGCGUGCAGGAUGAAGGCCUUCGGGUUGUAAACUGCUUUUGUACGGAACGAAAAGGUCCGCCCUAAUACGGCGGGCCCAUGACGGUACCGUAAGAAUAAGCACCGGCUAACUACGUGCCAGCAGCCGCGGUAAUACGUAGGGUGCAAGCGUUAAUCGGAAUUACUGGGCGUAAAGCGUGCGCAGGCGGUUAUAUAAGACAGUUGUGAAAUCCCCGGGCUCAACCUGGGAACUGCAUCUGUGACUGUAUAGCUAGAGUACGGUAGAGGGGGAUGGAAUUCCGCGUGUAGCAGUGAAAUGCGUAGAUAUGCGGAGGAACACCGAUGGCGAAGGCAAUCCCCUGGACCU
rnacentral:rRNA from 1 species